UACGUAGGGGGCUAGCGUUGUCCGGAUUUAUUGGGCGUAAAGAGCGUGUAGGCGGCCAGGUAGGUCUGCUGUGAAAACUCGAGGCUCAACCUCGAGACGUCGGCGGAAACCAUCUGGCUAGAGUCCGGAAGAGGAGAGUGGAAUUCCUGGUGUAGCGGUGAAAUGCGCAGAUAUCAGGAAGAACCCCCGUGGCGAAGGCGGCUCUCUGGGACGGUACUGACGCUGAGACGCGAAAGCGUGGGGAGCGAACAGG
rnacentral:rRNA from 1 species